rnacentral:rRNA from 1 species
AACCCGGUGAACUGAAACAUCUAAGUAGCCGGAGGAAGAGAAAUCAAACGAGAUGCCCACAGUAGCGGCGAGCGAAGAGGGCAGAGCCUAAACCAGUCAUCUUCGGAUGGUUGGGGUUACGGACCUGCAUCAACCGAGUCCUACCUAGUCGAAUUACCUGGAAAGGUAAGCCAGAGAGCGUAAGAGCCGCGUAGGUGAAAGGAAGGACGAGGGGGCAGGGAUCCAGAGUACCACGAAGCACGAGGAAUUUUGUGGGAAGUCGGGGGGACCACCCUCCAAGGCUAAACACUUCUUAGUGACCGAUAGCGCAUAGUACCGUGAGGGAAAGGUGAAAAGAACCGCGGGAGCGGAGUGAAAGAGAACCUGAAACCGUAUGUCUACAAGCAGUCGGAGCGCAAGCGACGGCGUGCCUAUUGAAGAAUGAGCCAACGAGUUACGGGCACCAGCGAGGUUAAGCAGGAAAUGCGGAGCCGGAGCGAAAGCGAGUCUAAACAGGGCGAAUAGUUGGUGUUCGUAGACCCGAAACUGUAGUGAUCUACCCAUGAUCAGGUUGAAGCGCAGGUAAAAAUGCGUGGAGGACCGAACCGGUGAGCGUUGAAAAGCUUUCGGAUGAAUCGUGGGUAGCGGUGAAAUUCCAAUCGAACGCAGAGAUAGCUGGUUCUCCUCGAAAUAGCUUUAGGGCUAGCCUCAAGCAGUAAGCAUAGGCGGUAGAGCACUGAUCGGGAUAGGGUCCGUAAAGGAUACCGAACUCUGUCAAACUACGAAUGGUUAUGCUGCAGAACUUGGGAGUCAGACUACGAGAGAUAAGUCCCGUUGUCAAAAGGGAAACAGCCCAGACCGUCAGCUAAGGUCCCCAAUGCCAUACUAAGUGGAAAAGGAUGUGGGGUCUCAUAAACAACCAGGAUGUUGGCUCAGAAGCAGCCACCAUUUAAAGAGUGCGUAAUAGCUCACUGGUCGAGAGGCCCUGCGCCGAAGAUUCCCGGGGCUAAAGUAUGGAACCGAAGCUACGGAUGCGGUACUUGUACCGCGUGGUAGAGGAGCGUUCCCAUUGGGUUGAAGUCGUCCUGGAAGGGACGGUGGACUGGUGGGAAGUGAGAAUGUUGGCAUGAGUAGCGAAAAGAUAGGUGAGAAUCCUAUCCACCGAAAGCAUAAGGAUUCCUGAGCAACGAUCGUCGUCUCAGGGUAAGUCGGGACCUAAUCCGAGGCAUGGAGCGUAGGAGAUGGACAACUGGUUGAUAUUCCAGUACCGGCAGCAAUCGUUUGAACGAUGGAGUGACGCAGGAAGGCAGGUCCGCGCGAGAAUGGUAGAUCGCGUACAAGCGUGCAGGCUGGUGCACAGGCAAAUCCGUGUACUGAGGCUGAGGCGUGAUGUGGAGGGAACUUGUUCCCGAAGGGAUUGAGCCUACGCUGCCGAGAAAAGCUUCUAGUGAGAAAGCUGCCGCCCGUACCGUAAACCGACACAGGUAUGCGGGGAGAGAAUCCUAAGGUGCGCGGGAGAACCCUCGUUAAGGAACUCGGCAAAAUGUACCCGUAACUUCGGGAUAAGGGUAGCCACAGUGGUGAAGGGACUUGCUCCUGGAGCCUAGUGUGGUCGCAGAGAAGAGGCCCAAGCGACUGUUAACCAGAAACACAGGUGCCUGCGAAAGAGAAAUCUGAUGUAUAGGUGCUGACACCUGCCCAGUGCUGGAAGGUUAAAGAAGGAUGUCCGGGUUCGACCCAAAGCAUUUGACUGAAGCCCCAGUGAACGGCGGCCGUAACUAUAACGGUCCUAAGGUAGCGAAAUUCCUUGUCGGGUAAGUUCCGACCCGCACGAAAGGUGUAACGAUUUGGGCACUGUCUCAACGAGGGACCCGGUGAAAUUGAAAUACCUGUGAAGAUGCAGGUUACCCGCGACUGGACAGAAAGACCCCAUGGAGCUUUACUGUAACCUAAUAUUGGGUUCUGAUAUUCGACGCACAGGAUAGGUGGGAGGCUUGGAGCAUGGUCCUCUGGGAUCAUGGGAGCCGCCGUUGGGAUACCACCCUUCGAAUAUCGGGAUUCUAACCGCAGGAGCAACGAUCCUCGGGACAGUGUUAGGCGGGCAGUUUGACUGGGGCGGUCGCCUCCUAAAGGGUAACGGAGGCGCCCAAAGGUUCCCUCAGCGCGGACGGAAACCGCGCGACGAGUGUAAAGGCAGAAGGGAGCUUGACUGCGAGCCAAACACGGCGAGCAGGUACGAAAGUAGGGCUUAGUGAUCCGGUGGCAUCCAAGUGGAAGGGCCAUCGCUCAACGGAUAAAAGCUACCCUGG